AGCGGAGGCGGAGCUUUUGGAAACGGCUGCCGCAGGGUUGGCGGACUUGGGAAAGAGCGAAGAUGGCGGAGUGAGGCGUGCGGGUGGCAGCCGGCCGUUGGGCCGGGGGCGGUAAGGCCCCCGGAGUGUCCAGUGCUCCUUCUGGUCGGUGCGAGGAAGAACAUUUUCUUUGGCUUCCAGGUGCUUUUAUACAUCUUGAGAAGAAAGCAAAAAUCAGAACUCAGGAUUUGGCAAGUAUUCUGUGUUGUCUCCUGGAGUAGGUAGUCCUUUUAUCCAGCCACUUUCCCUAUUCUUGAAAUGUGGAUAUCUCUUCUCUGCACAUUUUACCUCCAUGAUUUGGAUCGGAAAAGGCUGCUUUUCUUUUUGUUCCACUUCUCAGAUUCAACAUUGAGAAGCUCCUAGGAUGCAGUUGUCUUGCCAAGUUCUCCAGGAAGAAAGAAGCAACUGACAUGCAUGUUCUGCUUUUUGCUUAAUUAUAAAGAAGUUAUUUUGGAAGCUGAGGCUGAUGUUUAAUUUGAAAAAGGUGCUUAGAUGUUGGUGUUUGUGAAUUCUUUACCUUUUGUUCCAAACAAGAAGAACGAAUAAAUAGCAAGUAUGGAUGACAUCAGGUUUUUUUUUUUUUUAAUGUCUUCCAGUUUCAACCACUGUCAUAAGCACAGUUGAAUCUGCAAGGAGUAAAUUCCAAAUAUGUGUUCUAGUAUGAAAUGAAAGAGAUGCUUAAAAACCACAGAUAUUAAAUAUCUAAAUGCUGACUCAUCCUUUGAAGUACAUUUGCUGGAAAAGAACAAAGAUCCAAUUUUGCAAUAAAACCUUUGAUGUAAUAAAGAAGCAUGAAGACAAGAGAAUGCAAGGUUAACGGAGUCUCUGUAAAAUACACAUCUUUACAUGUGUAAAUCUACAGUUUGAAUGAGAAGAGGGAUUUUUCUCCUAGAGCAGGAAGCUUUUGUUGGCUUCUCUCUCAGAAGUCUUUGGACAUUUCGUAUUUUUUAAUGAUUUUUCAUUUUUCUAAGGAGGGACCACAUUGUACAUUUGCUAACCCUAUGAAUGCAUGCUUGAGUUUGCUGAAAGAUUGGAAAAGGAAACAAAACAGAUUCAAGUCCACUGGUGGAACCCUUUUCACCUCCCUCAGAUGAGAGGCUCCUAUAUUGCAAAUUACUUCAUUCUUCUCUGUGGACUCUUAACAUAGCACUUGAGACUUGGUUUUCCAUGCUGCUAAGGCAGGAACAAGUGGCUUAAGUGUUUUUUCUGUUCAGAAAAUAUGGCAGAUCCUCUAGUAUGACCUGCCUUCAACUUUGGGCAUGAAGGAAUGGGGAAAACAAAAGAGCUUGCAGAUAAUUCCUUUCUCCUGAGAAAAGCAAGCAAAAAUGCCUUACGCAGCUCCAUCUAACUUUAGGGCAUCUUACAUUCUGUAGCCCAGUUUUCUAAAAACAUAAAUAACUUUGUUCCUUUGAUCCAAGAUGGGUAUUCAGAUGUUUGGUUUAUUUUUUUAGGUGAGGUGUAAUGUUAGGUUGUAAAGGCUGGGACUCAGGUAACUUUCCCUGGUUGGAACCAAACUGUGAUCAGAGAAUGGACUUCAGUAGCAAUGUUCCCAAAUUUGUGGUUGAUUUAGAAGAAAUUCGGGGUCUGGAAAAAAACUCAAACAAGAAAAAUAGUUCAAUAAAAAUAUGGAUUGUUCUUCUCCUUAAAACUUAUACCGUGUGAUGAACAGACUAUAAUGUAAAGCUGUUCUUGCUUCCAAAUCAACAGGACCACUGUAUGAAUUGUCAGGUCUUUACAUAAGAAGAAGGAAGCUAUGAGUCUUUGUGAGAAAGAAUUUGCAACUUCUUAGAUGCAAUUAAGAACAAAUUGUCUUAGAUCAUAUCUGUGAUUUAGGGAAUUUGCCUAGGGUCAUACAUGCUGUGAUGCUAAAAACUUAGGGCAGAUUUACCAAAAUUUAGCAGUGAUAGAAAUGGCCAAAAAUGAGAAAUGUUGAGCACUCUUAAUGAUUAGUAAAUUGGUCACCCUGUUUGAAUUGACAUAAGAAAGCUUUUUAGUAAAAUAAUUACAUAAUAUAGAUCAAAUAUAAUUUCCUUUGAGGGCAAAUACUGAGUGGUAAAACAUAGAAGUAACUUCGGAUAAAGGUAACUUAAAUGUUUCUCUAAGUAACUUCUCAGCCAACUUCCUGAUAUUUUCUUUAACUAUUUUGGAGUUGUUAAAGACAGGACUGAGUUCCAUUGGUAUGUUGAGAAUUUAUAUCUUUAGUUGUUUGUUAUCCAUCUUCCCCUUGUCCUUUUUGCAGUGUUUUGGGUAGGACCAUUUGGCAGGGGAUAGGGACUUUACACCGUCAGCACCAGUGAAACCAUCUCUGGCCCAUUUGUUUGAGUAUGUAUCAGACUCCUCUUCUCCAGUUGCAUUGUAUUAUUUCAUAGCUAAAGGAACCACUGUUGAAUGCUCUCGUUCAAGUUGUUCUUUGCAUCUUUAAUGGUUGUCACCAGAUAGCAUCUAACAAAAUGGGUCUAUGCCAGUGUACUAGCCCAGUGUUUGCUUAAUAUGCAUACAUUUUCCCCCCUGGGCUGUUUUGUCCCCUUCUUGAUGGGAAAAGCUGUAAUUUUAGGCAGGACUACACCUUGAUCAGUAGCUGUGCCUACUUCCUUCUCUGCUCAUCCAUGUCAGCUGGCAGUUUUUCUUUUAAAAAGUUAAACAAAAACGGGAUAUGUGCAAUAGAAAUAUAUAUAUGUAUAUUUUAAUACUUGUGGACAAAUGUUACAAGUUGUUUAAGAACAACAAAAUCACCAAUGUCUUCCAUUUUGAGAUGUGUAUAGUUUUGUAAGCGUUAGUGCUUGGUAGCAUAUUGUAGUGCCAUGUUAGGGGUUAGUGCAUGAGCCUAGUAAUAAUUUAAACUUCAGGAUGAAUUAUUGAUAAUAACCAAUAGUGUUAAAUGAGUGGAAAAUCGAGAUCUUUUCUUUUUUCAUAAAUAUCGGAAUCAUGAUAUUCUCCCUGGGGAAAAGAGAUUAAGGCCAAAAAGACUCAUUUAUGAAUAGAACUGGGAUUACAGUGUGAAAUACUGUGUUUGAGGAUAUUUAAGUUUUUUCUGAGGUAGCUGGAAACCAGCUGCCUUUGUGUCUUAAGAAACCUCAAAUCAAAAUGAGGCCCCAUUUCAUGAUUCUGCUUUGUUCUCUUAGUUUGAGAUGAGAUUGUUCUUAUGCUGUUUUCACACAGUGUGUCUUGUAGGUUUAUUAUUUAAUCCACUCCUUUGCAUCAAGAAAUUAUUUUUUUAUUUUGCAUGUCUUACUGAGAUGCUGUGUUGGUCAAGUGCUUUUCUAAUCUGCAGACCAUUUACAUUUCCUGUCUGCGAAAUGCUAAUUGUUAUGGAAGAACACUGGUCAGUAGUUCAGUGUCCUACAUAAAUUUGUCACAGGCUUUUCCUAUUUCACAGUCUGAAUUGUGUGUUGAUGGCAUUCCAGACCUUUUCGCAAGAAUUGGAGUGUAGCUAGGUGGAGCCUAAGCAGGUUGCCAUGUAAUAACUAUCUCUUUUGCUUGGUUAUAGUAAGCCACCUCAGACAGCUUUCACUUUUUUCUGCUUGUAAAAAUAAAUGUUUUUGUUCUGAAAGCAUAAGAUACCUUUCUGUGGAAAAGAAACUCCUACCUCUAAAAGCUGCCUUGAGAACUUGGAAAGGGCAGUUUUCGGAGGUGAUUUUUAAGUCUCGGUAUUAGGAGAGUUCAGGAUUUUUUGAUACAGAUUUUACAGUUACCAUGAUAUGAAAUGCAAAAGGAAUGUGAUGUGUCUCCAGUACACAAGCAAGCUUAAACAAAUAGACUCUGUAGCAGCAGAUAUCCAGGGACCCAGGUUUAGAUUCUCAGAGUGUACUUAAAGCAGUUGUACUCUUGGCUCUAGUAGUUUAGUGCCUGGGAGAAUCUAUUUCCAAAAAGCAUUUAAAUAUUUUUAAAAAUACCUCUGAAAAGGUAAUGAAUGAAUGCAAAAUAGCACAGUAUAUAGGAAAGGAUAUUUCCUAUUGCAAAAAAAAAAUAAAAAAUAAAAGCCAUAAAAUGAAUAAUAAUUUUCAAGAGGUAGAAUCUUUGUAGCAAUAACAGUUUUGCAUGUACAGUAAAUUGUAUUAGCAAAGUUGUACAAUAGAAUAAAUAUUACUACUUGAGUUGGUGAAGCUCUGGUGAUGAACAUUGCACCAAAGGAAGACGUUUUAGGCAAAGAACAUAUAAAAGGUACUUUAAAAGCUGAAUGUAUAUGAAUAAAUCAUUGUGUGAGAAAUAGCAACUUUUGUGUGUAAGUGUAAAGGUUAGGGACCCUAUUUGUUUCCUAAAGCAGAGGGGUAGAGUCAAUGAAUGAAAUUUUUCUAGUGGUUUACCAGGAAACAAAUGUACUCCUACCCAUGUAGCCCCACCGAAGCCAUCAGGUGGGGAUUUUGCUUCUGAUGUUCUUUUCAGCAGCAGGCAUUUAUAGAAUAGGCGACUUUAUGCUCUGUCACCUUUUCUUUUCUCCUUUCAUUCUCUGGGUGCAUUUUAAGAAUGGAAAGUGUGUGUGUUAAAAACAAACCAAGAACUUGGAUAGCUGGCUUUUCCUGAUGCCUCUGGUUAGUGUAGGGGAGUUAGAAUUUAAAGAUGUAAAGCAAAGGAUUGAAGGGAAUAGCCAAAGACAGCAUGUUGGUUUUAUAAACCUUGUCUGAUGUACAUGUGUUGAGGACUUUGGCAUGUGACUCUUUAAUAAGAGCCCAACAAACGUUUCUUGAUCUGAGGGAUCUCACACCUCACAUCAGGAUAUAAUAGUGGCAUGGAAGCUGACUUCUUACUCCCUUUUACCUUGUGUUCAUUUUGGCCAUUUAGCACCUUGAAGGUCCCUGAAAAGAUUGGGUCUAUGUUCCCCUGUUUUCCCAGGGAAAAAAACUAAAAGUGGAGUGGAUUUAAGAAAAUAGUGCCUCUUUAAUAUUUCUUAUAUGGCAACUCCAGAGGAUAGGGAGAAGGCUAUUCUAUUAAAUUGAUUAUAGCUCCUCUUUAAAUGUCCUACACCAUCAGUUGGUGCUAGAGACAUUGGAAUAACCAAGCAAUAUUUAGUCAUCUGCACGAUCAUGAGGACACCGCUGUGUAUUAUAGUGAUGUCAACAAUUCAGUUACUUAAA